ACGAAGUAGUGUUGACGAGAUUUCUGUUUUUCUGAAUACCCUUCGAAUUUUUCCAUUUGUAUUUCUACUUGAAAUAGAGAAAAAAGCAUUUCUCGGUUUAUCAAAUGAUGAUACAUAGUGCAAUAUGGUCAGAACAAGGUGUUGCAUAAUACAAACCCAGGAAAGAAAGGGAGUCUAAUCCAUAGAACUUUUUCCGCUCCUUUUCUAUCUAAUUAGUUUAUGUUUGUUCUAAUUAUAAAACAAACAAGAACAAAUCUUUUAUUUUUGCAGGCCAAUCGCUCUUUUGACUUUGGAAUACAGUCUCUUUAUCAAUAUACUGUUUCUUUUACACAUUCAAUUCAUAACAUCUCUUUUCAAUCCAUAAUCAAGAAUAAUUAGGAUUUCUAAAAAAAAAAGUAAAGGGUCCAUUCAUAGGAAAACCUAACCUUUCCCCACAUUAGGCACUAAUCUAUUUUUAACGUCUAA
rnacentral:lncRNA from 1 species